UACAGAGGUCCCAAGCGUUGUUCGGAUUCACUGGGCGUAAAGGGCGCGUAGGCGGCCUUCUAAGUCGAACGUGAAAUCCCCGGGCUCAACCCGGGAACUGCGUCCGAUACUGGAAGGCUUGAAUCCGGGAGAGGGAUGCGGAAUUCCAGGUGUAGCGGUGAAAUGCGUAGAUAUCUGGAGGAACACCGGUGGCGAAGGCGGCAUCCUGGACCGGCAUUGACGCUGAGGCGCGAAAGCCAGGGGAGCAAAGCGGG
rnacentral:rRNA from 1 species